rnacentral:rRNA from 1 species
GAUGAACGCUGGCGGCGUGCCUAAUACAUGCAAGUCGAGCGAACAGAUGAGGAGCUUGCUCCGCUGACGUUAGCGGCGGACGGGUGAGUAACACGUGGAUAACCUACCUAUAAGACUGGGAUAACUUCGGUAAACCGGAGCUAAUACCGGAUAAUAUAUUGAACGGCAUGGUUCAAUAGUGAAUGACGGUUUUGCUGUGGCUUAGAUAUGGAUCCGCGCCGCAUUAGUCAGUUGGUACGGUAACGGCUUACCAAGGCAACUGUGCGUAGCCGACCUGAGGGGGUGGUCGGCCACACUGUGACAGAGGAAGGGCACAGACACCGACGGGAAGAAACAGUAGGGACUCUUACGCGAGGGACGAGAGCGUGACAGAGCAACACCGCGGGAAUGAUGAAGGACUCAGGCUCGGAGAGCUCUGUUGGUAGGAGAGAACAAAUGUGUAAGUAACUAGGAACAUAAUGACGGUACCUGAUCAAAAAGCCACGGCUAACUACGUG